rnacentral:rRNA from 1 species
GUGGGGAAUAUUGCACAAUGGGGGAAACCCUGAUGCAGCGACGCCGCGUGAAGGAUGAAGUAUUUCGGUAUGUAAACUUCUAUCAGCAGGGAAGAAGAUGACGGUACCUGACUAAGAAGCCCCGGCUAACUACGUGCCAGCAGCCGCGGUAAUACGUAGGGGGCAAGCGUUAUCCGGAUUUACUGGGUGUAAAGGGAGCGUAGACGGCGAUGCAAGCCAGAUGUGAAAGCCCGGGGCUCAACCCCGGGACUGCAUUUGGAACUGCGUGGCUGGAGUGUCGGAGAGGCAGGCGGAAUUCCUAGUGUAGCGGUGAAAUGCGUAGAUAUUAGGAGGAACACCAGUGGCGAAGGCGGCCUGCUGGACGAUGACUGACGUUGAGGCUCGAAAGCGUGGGGAGCAAACAGGAUUAGAAACCCUAGUAGUCC